GAAAUGCGAAAAGUAAUGUGAAUUGCAGAAUUCAGUGAAUCAUCGAAUCUUUGAACGCACAUUGCGCCCGCCAGUAUUCUGGCGGGCAUGCCUGUUCGAGCGUCAUUUCAACCAUCAAGCCCCCGGCUUGUGUUGGGGACCUGCGGCUGCCCGCAGGCCCUGAAAAACAGUGGCGGGCUCGCUGUCACACCGAGCGUAGUAGCAUACAUUCUCGCUCAGGGCGUGCUGCGGGUUCCGGCCGUUAAACGACCUUCAUAACCCAAGGUUGACCUCGGAUCAGGUAGAAAUACCCGCUGAACUUAAGC
rnacentral:misc_RNA from 1 species